rnacentral:tRNA from 6 species
GCCCCUAUCGUCUAGCGGCCUAGGACGCCGCCCUUUCACGGCGGUAACACGGGUUCAAAUCCCGUUGGGGGUA